AGAGUUUGAUCCUGGCUCAGGAUGAACGCUGGCGGCGUGCUUAACACAUGCAAGUUGAACGAAGCACCUGAGAACGAUUCUUCGGAUGAAGUCUCUUGUGACUGAGUGGCGGACGGGUGAGUAACGCGUGGGUAACCUGCCUCACACAGGGGGAUAACAGUUGGAAACGACCGCUAAUACCGCAUAAGCUGCCGGUGCCGCAUGGCACUGACGGAAAAGAUUUUAUCGGUGUGAGAUGGACCCGCGUCUGAUUAGCCAGUUGGCAGGGUAACGGCCUACCAAAGCGACGAUCAGUAGCCGGCCUGAGAGGGUGAACGGCCACAUUGGGACUGAGACACGGCCCAGACUCCUGCGGGAGGCAGCAGUGGGGAAUAUUGCACAAUGGGGGAAACCCUGAUGCAGCGACGCCGCGUGAGUGAAGAAGUAUUUCGGUAUGUAAAGCUCUAUCAGCAGGGAAGAAAAUGACGGUACCUGAUUAAGAAGCCCCGGCUAACUACGUGCCAGCAGCCGCGGUAAUACGUAGGGGGCAAGCGUUAUCCGGAUUUACUGGGUGUAAAGGGAGCGUAGCACGGUGAUGCAAGUCAGAAGUGAAAGCCCGGGGCUCAACUCCGGGACUGCUUUUGAAACUGUGUGACU
rnacentral:rRNA from 1 species